UGAUGACGAGACGCUAAGGCGUUGAAGCAGUGUAUGUCAGACUUCCAAGAAAAGCUUGCACUGUCAAAGACAAAUAAUGCCUGUACCAUAACCGACACAGGUGGGUAGGUAGAGUAUACUAAGGGGCGCGAGAUAACUCUCUCUAAGGAACUCGGCAAAAUGACUCCGUAACUUCGGGAGAAGGAGUGCCUUAUUUAUAAGGUUGCAAUAACAAGAUCCAAGCAACUGUUUAUCAAAAACACAGGUCUCCGCUAAGUCGUAAGACGAUGUAUGGGGGCUGACGCCUGCCCAGUGCCAGAAGGUUAAAGAAGUUGGUUAGUGUAUGCGAAGCUGAUGACUGAAGCCCUGGUGAACGGCGGCCGUAACUAUAACGGUCCUAAGGUAGCGAAAUUCCUUGUCGGGUAAGUUCCGACCCGCACGAAAGGCGUAAUGAUUUGGAUACUGUCUCGGAGAGAGGCUCGGUGAAAUAGACUUGUCUGUGAAGAUGCGGACUACCUGCACCAGGACAGAAAGACCCUAUGAAGCUUUACUGUAACUUGAAAUUGGAAUUGGACUUUGCUUGCGCAGUAUAGGUGGGAAGCGUUGAAAAUAUUCUUGCGGGAGUAUUGGAGCUAUCAGUGAGAUACCACUCUUGUAAUGUUAGAUUUCUAACUUUGAACCAUAAUCUGGUCAAAGAACAGUUUCAGGUGGGCAGUUUGACUGGGGCGGUCGCCUCCCAAAUGGUAACGGAGGCGUACAAAGGUUUCCUCUGAACGGAUAGAAAUCGUAUCUAGAGUGUAAAGGCAUAAGGAAGCUUGACUGUGAGACCUACAAGUCGAGCAGGGACGAAAGUCGGUCUUAGUGAUCUGACGGUACUGAGUGGAAAGGCCGUCACUCAACGGAUAAAAGUUACUCUAGGAUAACAGGCUGAUCUCCCCCAAGAGUUCACAUCGACGGGGAGGUUUGGCACCUCGAUGUCGGCUCAUCGCAUCCUGGGGCGGUAGUACGUCCCAAGGGUUGGGCUGUUCGCCAUGAAAGCGGUACGCGAGCUGGGUUCAGAACGUCGUGAGACAGUUCGGUCCAUAUCCGGUGUAGGCGCUAGAAUAUUGAGAGGAGCCUUCUUUAGUACGAGAGGACCGAGAAGGACACACCGCUGGUGUACCAGUUAUCGUGCCAACGGUAAACGCUGGGUAGCUAUGUGUGGAGUGGAUAACCGCUGAAAGCAUCUAAGUGGGAAGCCCACCUCGAGAUGAGUAUUCUC
rnacentral:rRNA from 1 species